UGGUGGGAGUCACGUGACUGCUACGUAGUCAUGUCGCUGCGCAGCCUGCGCAGUAUCAUUCGGACGGUAACGGUCGGUCGAUGAGACAGGACGACGCAAGGUCGCAGCGUAUCGCGGCGCAUUUCAACUCGCAUUCUCGUCGUCCCGUAUGAGUUUUUGACGCGAGCAAGUGUGUCGUGGAGACUGUGGAGAGUGCCGUGGAGUGUCGGAUGUUCGUGAGAACUGCGAACAGUGCGAACAGUGCGAACUCGCAUCUUCGUCGUUCCGUACGAGUUCCGAAGCGUUGAUUCUUCGUCACAUAAUAGAUGUCUCGCGUAAUUUAUGUAUAAUAUAUUCUCUCUACUGGGAUUGAAACGAGAGAAAGAUCGCAAUAUUAAAUUAAGGUUUUAUUGAUAACGAAUUUGAGAGUCUGGAUUGACGCCGAGAGCGCGGAGUAAUACGUGAGUCGAAUCACAUGCUUUAUAUGUAACGGAGUACGCGGAUCGUGUCGAAUAAAGUAUUGAAAGGGACAAUAACGGUUGUUUAAUUGCUGGUGCUGUAUCAUAUCGUUGCAAGUGAUCUCAAAUAUAUUUCUGGACGAUUUGCUAAAUUCGAUCGGUUGUUGACUCGACUCGCGUUGUACCCGCGUACGGCGUCGGUGUGAAGUUGCCGAUGUUCAAAUGUCUCGGCAUUUCAGCGAAGGAACGCCAUAAGGCAUCGGUCAUUUCGUUUCGGCGGUAUUUAAUCGCGAGUGUCGUAUUAUAACAAUGAGCUCGAUCGCGUUUUCGCGAGUGUUGCCUUGCGAGCGUGCGACGAGGGGAUGUGAAACGACGACGAAGCCUCCGUUAGAGCUUCUUCGGAGCAUUGGUGAGUUCAAGUGUGAGUGGACUCGAAACGACGACGGCCCGCGUUUUCGUGAAUACACAGUGUUACGUCGAUGGAAUUGACAAUCCAAACAGUCUGGGGAAGAAAGGCUUAGAGGGAAGGCAUCGGGCACCGGUGGAGCAACUUUGCGAAUCAACGGAGCUACGUGGCAGAUAUAACUCCGCUGUUGCGCAUCGAGUCUGGAGAAGAUGAGUCACCUAUCCCAGUUGUGGUCCCACUUCACCGAAGGCUCGUAAUUCGUCGUCCACGAGUUGUGGACGCGCAACGGCUUCGUGUCACUGUGUCCUUGCGCGCUGU